UCUCUGCGAUCAAACAAGGCCAAAGGAGGGGGAAACCCUAGUUCAAAGAAUCAAGUGAAUCAAUCCAAAUUCAUGAGCCAAUCUGAUGCAUGUUCUCUAAAUUGUGAUUAGCUAACCCUAAUCUCUUAAGUGGCGUAAAAGAAGAAGGUACAAGCACUAAGCAAGCGGAAGGAGUACAAGAUCGAGGCGUAAAAGAAGAAGGUACAAGCACUAAGCAAGCGGAAGGAGUACAAGAUCGAGGUAAAGCACCUCUUUAGGCGAUUUGGAGAUAUGGGACGAGCACAUGUUCAAGCCUUAUGAUACCAAGCGCUUCCGCAACUUAUAUGCAUGCUUUUGGGUCGUGUUUAUUACUUGUUAAACUUGUUGAAAUGUUUUAGAAUUGAAAACUUGUCGUUUUUGUUGGGAUGGUUUUAUGUUAAAUGGGUCGUAGUGUAAACGUUGUAAGUUAUGUCAAAACAGGGGGUAUGCUCGUUUUACAAACGGGUCAU